AACCUCGACAUCCCCCUCCUUUUGGAGGAGCUGCGGGUUUUGCGGCAGCGCCAGCUCCGCCAGAUGCAGCUCACCCAAGAAAUUUGCCGCCACCUCCUCCUUUUGGGGGCGCCGGGCCCCCCGAAAACCCACCCCCCGCGCCCAAAAAAACCCCAAAACCCUCUCCCAAAACCCAUUUUCCCCUUUUUUCCCCCCAAAACGGAGCAGGCGGCGGUUUUUUUCGCCGCCCCCUACCGCUUGGCGCCGGCCCCGCGUGGCCGAACCCCCGAAUCCGCCCCGUUGCCGGGCGACCCCCCGGGACCCCCCGUGCGACCCCUAAAUAUUUUUGGGGUGAAUUCCGGGGUUUUUAGGCACGGCUGCGGGGGCGAGCGGCCCUACGGCUGCGGCGUUUGUGGCAACCGUUUCGCCACCCGGGGCAACCUCAAAGUUCACCUCCACCGGCACCGCCAAAAGAGCCCCCAAGUGGCCACCCGGGACCCCCAAGUGGCCACCCGGGACCCCCAAGUGGCCCGGGACCCCCAAGUGGCCACCGAGGGGUCGCGGGUUGGGGGCGGAAGAUUUCAGCAACCGGACGCGGCGUCGGGUGGAGGGGGGGAGGUGGAGGAGGUCGGGGGGCUAGCGGUGGCCCACGGGGGGCUACCGGGGGCCAACGGGCAAGUAGGGGGCAAGGGGGGGCAAGCGGGGGGCAACGGGGAGGGGGGGGGCAAUGAUGGCCGAUCGGGGGUCAAUAGUGGUCAAUCGGGGGUCAAUAGUGGUCAAUUGGUGGCCAAUAGUGGUCAAUCGGUGGCCAACGCUCAACUGAUGGCCAAUAGUGGCCCAAAAAUGGCCAAUAGUGGCCCAACGAUGGCCAAUAGUGGCCCAACGGUGGCCAACAGUGGCCCAACGAUGACCAAUAGUGGCCCAACGAUGACCAACAGUAGCCCAAUGAUAGUCAACAGUGGCCCAACGAUGACCAACAGUGGCCAACCGAUGGACAAUAGUGGUCAACUGAUGGCCAACAGUGGCCCAACGAUGGCCAACAAGGUCCAACUGAUGGCCAACGCCCAACCGAUGGACAAUAGUGGCCCAAAAAUGGCCAAUAGUGGCCCAACGAUGGCCAACAAGGUCCAAUUAAUGGCCGACACCCAACUGAUGGCCACUAGUAGCCCAACGAUGACCAACAGUGGCCCAACGAUGACCAACAGUAGCCUAACGGUGGUCAACAAGGUUCAAUUGGUGGCCAACGCUCAACCGAUGGCCAAUAGUGGCCCAAAAAUGGCCAAUAGUAGCCCAACGAUGGCCAACG
rnacentral:lncRNA from 1 species